rnacentral:rRNA from 1 species
AGAGACAGCAGCCGCCACGGUAAUACGUAGGUCCCGAGCGUUGUCCGGAUUUAUUGGGCGUAAAGCGAGCGCAGGCGGUUAGAUAAGUCUGAAGUUAAAGGCUGUGGCUUAACCAUAGUACGCUCUGGAAACUGUUUAACUUGAGUGCGAGAGGGGAGAGUGGAAUUCCAUGUGUAGCGGUGAAAUGCGUAGAUAUAUGGAGGAACACCGGUGGCGAAAGCGGCUCUCUGGCUUGUAACUGACGCUGAGGCUCGAAAGCGUGGGGAGCAAACAGGAUUAGAUACCCCCGUAGUCCCUGUCUCUUAUACA